rnacentral:rRNA from 1 species
ACUGCUCGGUAACACGUGGAUAACCUGCCCAAGGGUCUGGGAUAACCCCGGGAAACUGGGGAUAAUACCGGAUGGAUCACUAGUGCUGGAAUGCUUGGUGGUCGAAAGGCAACGCCUUUGGAUGGGUCUGCGGCGGAUUAGGUUGACGCCGGUGUAACGUACCGGCGUGCCUGUAAUCCGUACGGGUUGUGGGAGCAAGAGCCCGGAGAUGGAUUCUGAGACACGAAUCCAGGCCCUACGGGGCGCAGCAGGCGCGAAAACUCUACAAUGCAGGCAACUGCGAUAGGGGGACAUCGAGUGGCAUCCACCUUGGGUGCCUGUCCAACCGUCUAGAAAACGGUGGUUAGCAAGGGCCGGGUAAGACCGGUGCCAGCCGCUGCGGUAAUACCGGCGGCUCGAGUGGUGGCCGAUAUUAUUGAGUCUAAAGGGUCCGUAGCCGGCUUUGCAAGUCCCCUGGGAAAUCCAGCGGCUUAACCGUUGGGCUUUCAUGGGAUACUACAUUGCUUGGGACUGGGAGAGGUAGGAGGUACUCGGGGGGUAGGGGUGAAAUCCUGUAAUCCUCCGGGGACCACCGGUGGCGAAGGCGUCCUACCAGAACAGGUCCGACGGUGAGGGACGAAAGCUAGGGGCACGAACCGGAUUAGAUACCCGGGUAGUCCUAGCCGUAAACGAUGCCCGCUAGGUGUCACGACGGUCGUGAAUCGUCGUGGUGCCGUAGGGAAGCCGCGAAGCGGGCCACUUGGGAAGUACGGCCGCAAGGCUGAAACUUAAAGGAAUUGGCGGGGGAGCAC